CACGUAGGGUGCGAGCGUUGUCCGGAAUCACUGGGCGUAAAGGGUGCGUAGGCGGGUUUUUAAGUCAGAGGUGAAAUCCUGGAGCUCAACUCCAGAACUGCCUUUGAUACUGAAAGUCUUGAGUAUGGGAGAGGUGAGUGGAACUGCGAGUGUAGAGGUGAAAUUCGUAGAUAUUCGCAAGAACACCAGUGGCGAAGGCGGCUCACUGGCCCAUUACUGACGCUGAGGCACGAAAGCGUGGGGAGCAAACAGG
rnacentral:rRNA from 1 species